GCAUAUCAAUAAGCGGAGGGAAAAGAAACCAACAGGGAUUGCCCCCAGUAACGGCGAGUGAAGCGGCAAGAGCUCAAAUUUGAAAGCUGGCUCCUUCGGGGUCCGCAUUGUAAUUUGUAGAGGAUGCUUCGGGAGCGGUCCCCAUCUAAGUGCCCUGGAACGGGACGUCAUAGAGGGUGAGAAUCCCGUAUGGGAUGGGGUGUCCGCGCCCGUGUGAAGCUCCUUCGACGAGUCGAGUUGUUUGGGAAUGCAGCUCUAAAUGGGUGGUAAAUUUCAUCUAAAGCUAAAUAUUGGCCGGAGACCGAUAGCGCACAAGUAGAGUGAUCGAAAGAUGAAAAGCACUUUGAAAAGAGAGUUAAAAAGCACGUGAAAUUGUUGAAAGGGAAGCGCUUGCGACCAGACUCGCUCGCGGGGUUCAGCCGGCAUUCGUGCCGGUGUACUUCCCCGCGGGCGGGCCAGCGUCGGUUUGGGCGGUCGGUCAAAGGCCCUCGGAAGGUAACGCCCCUAGGGGCGUCUUAUAGCCGAGGGUGCAAUGCGACCUGCCUAGACCGAGGAACGCGCUUCGGCUCGGACGCUGGCAUAAUGGUCGUAAACGACCCGUCUUGAAACACGGACCAAGGAGUCUAACAUCUACGCGAGUGUUCGGGUGUCAAACCCGUGCGCGAAGUGAAAGCGAACGGAGGUGGGAACCCUCACGGGUGCACCAUCGACCGAUCCUGAAGUCUUCGGAUGGAUUUGAGUAAGAGCGUAGCUGUUGGGACCCGAAAGAUGGUGAACUAUGCCUGAAUAGGGCGAAGCCAGAGGAAACUCUGGUGGAGGCUCGUAGCGGUUCUGACGUGCAAAUCGAUCGUCGAUUUGGGGUAUAGGGGGCAGAAAGACUAAUCGAAACCAUUCUGGGUAGCUGGGCUUCCCUGCCUGAAAGU
rnacentral:rRNA from 1 species